ACAAAAUCGACUUUUGUGAGACAAAAUUGACUUUUGUGAGACAAAAUUGACAAAAUUGAAUUUUGUCUCACAAAAAUUGACUUUUGUGAGACACAA
rnacentral:sRNA from 1 species